CCCGGUGCUAAGGGUAGAGGCUGAUGUGCCGGCUAUCCGUUCGAUGGAAUGCUGCGUCAAUUCGACACCACCUUCAGGUUCUUCCCCUCAGGAAGCCUGAAUUCGGCUGCGCUGUUCAAUGUGAAGUACUUCAACUCUCCCUGCCACAGUUUAGCAACCAAUUGUUCGUGGCCUCAAAUAUUACAAGG